rnacentral:rRNA from 1 species
GAUGAACGCUGGCGGCGUGCCUAAUACAUGCAAGUCGAGCGAACAGACGAGGAGCUUGCUCCUCUGACGUUAGCGGCGGACGGGUGAGUAACACGUGGAUAACCUACCUAUAAGACUGGGAUAACUUCGGGAAACCGGAGCUAAUACCGGAUAAUAUAUUGAACCGCAUGGUUCAAUAGUGAAAGACGGUUUUGCUGUCACUUAUAGAUGGAUCCGCGCCGCAUUAGCUAGUUGGUAAGGUAACGGCUUACCAAGGCAACGAUGCGUAGCCGACCUGAGAGAGUGAUCGGCCACACUGGAACUGAGACACGGUCAAGACUCCUACGGGAGGCAGCAGUAGGGAAUCUUCCGCAAUGGGCGAAAGCCUGACGGAGCAACGCCGCGUGAGUGAUGAAGGUCUUCGGAUCGUAAAACUCUGUUAUUAGGGAAGAACAAAUGUGUAAGUAACUAUGCACGUCUUGACGGUACCUAAUCAGAAAGCCACGGCUAACUACGUG